rnacentral:misc_RNA from 1 species
AAAAAAAUGGAGGGGCAGCCGCAUCCAUACGUGCCGAGAGAUCUGAAACUGCCGGAUUACGUACCUGUACUCCUCUCUCAGUCCACCAUCCUUAGCGUCUAUGGAAUCUCUUCCCUUGUCGUCGUCUCCCUCGUCUGGGUACUUUCUGGUAAUUUAACUGCGUUUUCUGCUCAGCUAAAUGCUUGCAGAUCCACUUCAAUUGACUCUUUCGAUUUUUGUUAUUAAUCUUUACCACAAGUUUCUGAUUGAGUUCAAUAAGCAGAAGCACCACAUUAUUGGUACACUUUGAAUUAGAAUCUUGCAUUUCUGUUGUAUCUUCUCAUCCCAGAUCCCUCCACAAUUUGUGCUUGCAUUCUCAUUCUGCUGCUUAUGCUCCCACAUACUAGAAAGCGACAACUGUUAGUAUGUUUGAAUGGAAAGGUUUUAUAAAGUAAGUGAAGGUCAAAACCUUCCCAACUCAGUAAUUUAGUGGGUUAUAAAGGUGAGGUUUUUGGAGGUCUUCAUUAAAUUCAUUCCAAACAAUCUAAUUAAUUUACAAACCCAAAAACCUCCUCCCAAACAUAGUGUUAGGGACAUUAUAUUAUAUAGUAGCAAAUAUUAAGCAUCUAAGGUAUAACAUACCCAUUAGAUGAGUGUCCAAAAAUGUGUGUAUUAAGUGUAUUAUCUAAUAUUAUAACAAUUGAUAAGAUUAAGAAUGACCAUAUUUACUAGAGAGUGUAUGUAGUACACAUUGUGAAUAAAAUCUGAUGUUGAUUAAGAAGAUUUGAUUAUAUCCAACGUCGAGCAUCGAAUGUCCUAGUACAAAAGUGUGAUAAGUUAGUAGUUGAAUGAGUGAGAAGAGAGGAAAAUAUUUAAAACGACGUAAAGGAAAAUAAUAUGAAAAGAUUUACAAUUUUCAACUAUUGAUGCAAAAUUGGUUUUAAUUAAAAUUGAAUGGUAGAAAAGGAUCCAUAUAACUAACUCCGACUAGUUUGGGACUUAGACUUAGUUGUUGUUGUAUAAAGAAACCAUAAAAUUUCACUGAAAUGUAUUAUGCGCGCACGCGCGCACACAUAUAUAUGUUAAAAUUUAAUUUAGGUAGAAGAGAAAAAGAAGAGAAUGCAUUCAGUUGCAUUGAAUUGAUAUAUUCAAUUCAAUUUAAUCCAAGGGUAAAUUUUAAUCUGUUCACCAAGAAAGUGGCAAGUGGCUACCACCACAUAAUGCUUAGAAGUCAAAACUUUAUGAAAUCCUAGACUGCGCUGUUCUCAUCUUUCUCACUCAGCUUCCUGUGCUAGUCUAUGCUACUGCACUUAAUACAGUGGAAGGACACAGUUAAGCUAUAACCAAAAGCCUCUAAUGCAGAAAUUAGAGCUACCUGCCCGAGCUGCACAAAAUCUGAAUCUGAACUCUUCUCUAGAAUGUAAAUGCAACUUGUAAUCCCUAGACCUGCUUAGAAAUAUAAACAAACAAAAUAAUAAAAAUAUAAAUUAUUGCCCUUGACCAAUAGUAAGGUGGCUAUCAUCCUGGAGAAGGCAAAGUUUGAAUACUAUAGUCUGGAACAGAAACACUGAGAACGACAAAACAUAAAUAUAUUCAUAACUAUUUCUAGCACUCACAGAUUGGACUUUCAUCUACUUGGACAAACAAAUCUUAUAACUAACAUGGUAGGUAAUCCAUCAAACAUUGAUGGAGCUAUAUUAAUUGGAGUGGGUUUCAGGCUAGGAUCUUAAAUGACAUGAAUGAGCCCAGCAGCCCUUAGAUCAGAUAUUUGUUAUGAGAUUUAUGUAGCAUCAAAAUACUCAUGGAAAAUAUUUAAUACAAGGGCUUUUAUGCUCGUUCUUUUAUGAAAAAGGAUUUAUAGUAGCUGCACCUUUGUCAAAAAUACAUUCAAGAGAAAGCAAAAUUGAUAUCACUGUUAUGCUUUAGCUGGUUAUGUGCUAGAAUAUGACCUAGUGGACAAUUAUAAUUAUGAGGUACCAUUAGACUUAUUAAAUAUAAAUAGAAGAUUCGAAUAAAAAGCUACAUAUUGAAACUCCUGAAAUAGUAAUUAUGAAUGAUGAAUGGGCAGGACAUGAACUGAAAGAGGAGGAGAUGUAAUGAGGCAUUUUAGCAGUGUCUUCAAGGAGUAAAAUCUAUCUAAUUACAAGGAAAAUUAGCUGAAGAACGCGAAGCAAAAUCCAUAGAAGAUAGAGAGAGUAAUUGAUAUUUUAAUAUAGGUAACAAUGAAUAUUGCCAGUGUGCAGGAAGGAAAUGCACUAGAGGUAUGCUAUCAGAACUUCACUAGAAACAAUUUCUUUAAACAUGGAAAGAUGAUAUGCAGAUGUCUGCCACAGAGGAGAAAAUGCUUCCACAAAAUUAGCAGAAAACUGAAAGAUGAUAUGCAGAUGUCUGCCACAGAGGAGAAAAUGCUUCCACAAAAUUAGCAGAAAACUAUCUAGUUCUAUCAAUGUAACUAAAAGAAGAUAAUAAACAAGUCAGCAUGAUUUCUAACAUAUAAAUAAACAAUCACAGUAUCAUACACAAUGAGACCUGUAAGAACUCCGACCU